rnacentral:tRNA from 1 species
GAGCCAGUAGCUCGACGGUUAGAGCGUUGGAUUUCUAAUCCACAGGUCACCGGUUCG